AACGAACGCUGGCGGCAUGCCUAACACAUGCAAGUCGAACGAUAACUUCGGGUCUAGUGGCGAACGGGUGCGUAACGCGUGGGAACCUGCCCUUAGGUUCGGAACAACUCCCCGAAAGGGGUGCUAAUAUCGGAUCAGUUCUUCGGACCAAAGAUUUAUCGACUUUGGAUGGGGCCGAGUUGGAUUAGCUAGUUGGUAGGGUAAAAGCCUACCAAGGCGACGAUCCAUAGCGGGUCUGAGAGGAUGAUCAGCCACACUGGGACUGGGACACGGCCCAGACUCCUACGGGAGGCAGCAGUGGGGAAUAUUGGACAGUGGGCGGAAGCCUGAUCCAGCAAUGCCGCGUGAGUGAUGAAGGCCUUAGGGUUGUAAAGCUCUUUUACCCGGGAUGAUAAUGACAGUACCGGGAGAAUAAGCUCCGGCUAACUCCGUG
rnacentral:rRNA from 1 species